UACGUAGGGGGCUAGCGUUGUCCGGAUUUAUUGGGCGUAAAGAGCGUGUAGGCGGCCAUGUAGGUCCGGUGUGAAAACUCGAGGCUUAACCUCGAGAUGUCAUCGGAAACCAUUUGGCUAGAGUCCGGAAGAGGAGAGUGGAAUUCCUGGUGUAGCGGUGAAAUUCGUAGAUAUUCGGAAGAACACCAGUGGCGAAGGCGACUUACUGGACACAUAUUGACGCUGAGGUGCGAAAGCGUGGGGAGCAAACAGG
rnacentral:rRNA from 1 species